AACGAACGCUGGCGGUAUGCUUAACACAUGCAAGUCGAACGCGAACGGGACUUCGGUCCUUAUUAGAGUGGCGCACGGGUGAGUAACGCGUAGACAACCUACCCCUUAGCUCAGAAUAACUAUUCGAAAGAAUAGCUAAUACUGAAUAAUAAAGAGAAACGACUGCUUCUUUUUGAAAGGUUUACCACUAGAGGAUGGGUCUGCGUAACAUUAGCUAGUAGGUGGGGUAACGGCCUACCUAGGCGACGAUGUUUAGCGGGUCUGAGAGGAUGAUCCGCCACACUGGAACUGAGACACGGUCCAG
rnacentral:rRNA from 1 species